CGGGGGGAGCAAGCGUUGUUCGGAUUUACUGGGCGUAAAGGGCGCGUAGGCGGCCUCUGCAAGUCGACUGUGAAAUCUUCGGGCUUAACCCGGAACGGUCAGCCGAUACUGCAGGGCUAGAGUGCAGAAGGGGCAACUGGAAUUCUCGGUGUAGCGGUGAAAUGCGUAGAUAUCGAGAGGAACACCUGCGGCGAAGGCGGGUUGCUGGGCUGACACUGACGCUGACAGCGCGAAAGCUAGGGGAGCGAACGGGAUUAGAUACCCCGGUAGUCCUAGCCUUAAACGAUGAAUGCUUGGUGUCUGGGGUUUUAUAGUCCCCGGGUGCCGUCGCUAACGCUUUAAGCAUUCCGCCUGGGGAGUACGGUCGCAAGACUG
rnacentral:rRNA from 1 species